AGCACGCUGCCAACACGGACAGAUGAAUUAAGGAAGAUUUCCAAAGGAAGCUGGAAAGAGAGGAGACAGGGAAUAAAUAAUGCAGGAUCCCAUCUGCCUGGCUAAAUUCCUACAAUCCUCUGCGUCAGGGAUGGGGAGGCUCCAGUCCUUGACAGAAGGAGCACCUCUACCUCAUCAUUACCACCCAUCAUUUACAAAGGCCAGGGCUGGGCAAUUGCUCUAUAGUGUAAAGAACAAUUCGGAAUUGACGAUCCAAGAAAAAGCUGGCUGUCAAAUCUGUUUUGCAAGCCAGCCUUGUCCCUAAAUGAACUACCAACAUCCAGUGUGAUAGAAGGAAAGGGCUUCCUGUCAGCAAUCACGAAAUGGACCUAACGGACAUGGACCCAAUCGUUUCUAACAACUUCAAGUGUACACCCCUUAAUGAAGGACAACCAGUCAGUAGAAUGUUUGAAAAAAAUACAACAACAAAAGCUUCUAAUUUAAGAGCUGACUUUCAGUUCUGAGAUGAAGGAGAA